AUCNACGCCAGGGAAUUACGAGCUAUGCUUAAAACCCAAAGGACUUGACGGUGUCCCAUCCCCCUAGAGGAGCCUGUUCUAUAAUCGAUGAUCCCCGAUAUACCCGACCACCCUUAGCUCUUCAGUCUGUAUACCUCCGUCGAAAGCUUACCAUGUAAACGUUAAAAAGUAGGCUCAAUGAUGGCNNNAUCAAUACGUCAGGUCAAGGUGCAACUCACGGAGUGGUAAGUAAUGGGCUACAGUUUCUAGACUAGAACAAACGAAAGACAUUGUGAAACAUAAUCAUGAAGGCGGAUUUAGUAGUAAAAAGAAAAUAGAGAGUUCUUUUUAACUAGGCACUGGGACGCGUACACACCGCCCG
rnacentral:rRNA from 1 species